rnacentral:rRNA from 1 species
GACGAACGCUGGCGGCGUGCCUAAUACAUGCAAGUCGAACGCAGUUGGGACGGGUGAGUAACACGUGGGUAACCUCCCAUCAGAGGGGAUAACACUUGGCAACAGGUGCUAAACCGAUACUGAUGGAUGGACCGUCGGUGCAUUAGCUAGUUGGUGAGGUAACGGCUCACAAAGGCCAAGAUGCAUAGCCGACCUGGGAGGGUGGUCGGCCACACGGGUACUGAGACACGGCCCAGAUUCCUAGGGGAGGCAGCAGUAGGGAAUGUUCUGCAAUGGACGAAAUUCUGACCGAGCAACGCCGCGUGUGUGAAGAAGGUUUUCGGAUCGUAAAACUCUGUAGUUAGAGAAGCGGUAUCUAACCAGAAAGCCACGGCUAACUACGUGCCAGCAGCCGCGGUAAUUC